rnacentral:misc_RNA from 1 species
AUGCUUUAGGUUUGUUUUGUAAUCUGUUUAUUUUAAUUUUCAAACUUUAGUAAUAGUUGUAAUACUUUGGUAAUUCGUUUUUAUGAUUAUACUUGCACUUCUUUCCUUUAGUUUAUUUUAUUUUAUUUUAUCCUAUGGUUUAUUUUGUGGUUGGUUAGAUUUUUUUUCCUCCACUCAUUUUGUAUGUCAAGGUGUAUCUAGA